ensembl:lncRNA
GGUACAGAGUCAAUGUGGAGACUAUAUACAGGGGGUACCGGUACAGAGUCAAUGUGGAGGCUAUAUACAGGGGGUACCGGUACAGAGUCAAUGUGGAGGCUAUAUACAGGGGGUACCGGUACAGAGUCAAUGCGGAGGCUAUAUACAGGGGGUACCGGUACAGAGUCAAUGUGGAGGCUAUAUACAGGGGGUACCGGUACAGAGUCCAUGUGGAGGCUAUAUACAGGGUAUUACGGAACAGAGUCAAUGUGGAGGCUAUAUACAGGGUAUUAGGGUACAGAGUCAAUGUGAAGGCUAUAUACAGGGUAUUACGGUACAGAGUCAAUGUGGAGGCUAUAUACAGGGGGUACCGGUACAGAGUCAAUGUGGAGGCUAUAUACAGGGGGGUACCGGUACAGAGUCAAUGUGGAGGCUAUAUACAGGGGUACCGGUACAGAGUCAAUGUGGAGGCUAUAUACAGGGGGUACCGGUACAGAGUCCAUGUGGAGGCUAUAUACAGGGUAUUACGGAACAGAGUCAAUGUGGAG